AAAUAUUAACAGCAACUUAUAUGUACUUCUCCACUUGUUGCUCCAAGAGAUUUACAGAUACUACUUUGAAAACAAGAUGAAAGCCAUGGAAUCUCCCGAGAAAAAUGUACAUCUUACAGACUUUCAGUGAGUUCUGGAAUACCAGGAACCAGAGCCCACACUAAUGAACAGCAGUUUCCUAACCUAAUGCGAGAGAUUUGAGAUUUCUUCUGGCUCCCAUGAUCUUCUAAUUGUCUUCUUAGCAAGACUAAACACAUCUCCAAGAAAUGUGCACUGCCAUGAAUGUCUUCCAGCUAUCUUCUAUGACAGCACUUCCCAGUGUGUUCUGUGGAAUAAUGGUACAGGGUGAUAUUCUAUGAAGAAAAAUACGGAAAGUAAUAUACUCCACAGUCCGUAUAUUAGAUCGGACUAAUAAAAAUAAAUAUGGAAAGUAA
rnacentral:lncRNA from 1 species